GAUGAAGAGCGGAGCUGAGGAAGAGCGGAGCUGACGCUUUGCUUUAAACGAUGUGGACAGGUGAAGACGAGAGGGCGUCAGGUCAGACUGAGGAAACGCAGCGCAAACAAAGUCUGAGACCAAAAAUGAAGCAUCAGGCUCCAGGCGGCCAUCUUGAACAGAACCAGAGAGGACGCCUGAUCGGGUCGCAGCAGAGAGGAGGAAUCAAGGAUCAGAACCCGACGGCGGAUUAACUUGAGCAGCAGAAAACCCAACAUAUUUAAAAAGUAAAGGUAAAAAGUAUUUGAUAAAAAGUCAACUCAGGUACUGAUGAGCUGAUCAAAUUAUCAAUCAAUCUAUGAAAGUAAAAGUUGAGGUAAAAAUUAUCCUUUUCAAAAAAGUAACUCCAAUACAUGUAACUGAGUAAAUGUAUUUUAUCAGCCAUAGUAGAACUGAGAGAUUUAUAACGAUGUAAAGGUCAAUAACUGAUCAGGUUUUUGUUUUCAAUAUCACAUUUCCUGCUUCAUCCAGUUUUCACUCCUUUGUUUUUCGUUUGUUAGCUGUGAGAAGCUAAGCGGCUAACGUCUUUCCUCUGCCUCCAUCUCCCAGAAUGCUGUGCGGUUCUGGAUCAGAUUUCAGUGAAAUUACUGAAACUUUUUUCAGAUGUUUUAUCAAUUGAUAUUAAUAUUGAUGUGCAAUAAACCAUUAAUUAACAGUGAAACAUAUUUUUUCCAGAUUUUCCGAGCUUUAAUUGACGCUCCUGAUUGGUGGCUGAUUUAGUCAGAAAACACAAGAUGAUCGUUUGAGUUGCAACGUUAACAGUUUUCAUCUCAGCAAAAAAAAAAGCUUAUUUUUUUCUGUCAUUCUGUCCUUCUGUGUUGUCUUGUUUAUUCAAAUUAAAUUGUUUGUCUCUCUCCGUAUUAAUUAUAAACUACAAACAUUUAGUGAACUGGUUGUUAAAGAACCUUCUUCCAUCUUGUGUUUUCUUUCUGUAACUGUUUGAGUCUCUGCUGCCUCUGUUCUCUCUCUGUCUGGAUUUUCUUUUUCAUUUUUAUUUCUCACAGGGCAAUAUUUCCAAAUUGGUUCUGGUUUUGGAGAAAUGUCUGAAAUCCCAGAGACAGUGAUGCUCUAAGAUGAAUUAAAAGGUUUGUAAUCAAAAGAUUAUAGAGUUUUUGUAAAAUGUCAUUUUUCAAAAUGACAUUUUGAGCCACAGAAACUCAUCUGACUGAUUCAACUGAAUCUCUAAAGGUUUUAGAUGGCAGUGAGGUCACAAAGUAUUCUUUAUUUUAAAUGUUUGUGAUGUAAUUGUACUGUUUCAAGUGUAAUUGUGCAAAUUUUUAUGUUUAUUAAAGAAAAUACUAAGAAAUAAUGUGACUUGA